GGGUUGGUUAUGAUAUAUAAGGGGGUGUUUCCACUUGGGUUAAAAGUCGCGGAUUAAGGUAUUUUUAAGCCGCGCCAAUCCACCGCUAAUCCGUCGGAGUGUUUCAUACGUCUGGAUUAAGAAACGGAUUGAAGUACGACACUUGCUCAUUCCGUGCAUAAAAUGCAAAAACGAGUAUUGCCAGACAUCUAAAAGACUAUCGAGUAUCAACAUGAAGGCCUUGUAGCACCUUUGAACGACACCCACGGUGUGGUGCAUAAUGCCGAACAAGAAGCACAAAGCUUCCACAAAACUAGGAACACCUACAGCCUUUAUAAAGGAUAACCUUCCAACCUAUCACUCAGGCUUUUUAUGAGGCGUCGUGAAAAGUGUUAAUCCGAGAUUGUCAAUUUGAUACCUGGUGGCCACCAGGUAGCAAAUUUUUCGCACCAAGUUUGAGCUUUUAGUAUAAGCAGAAAGCUCGCAUUUCAUAGCAUAUUAAUCUAUAAUUAAUCCGCGAAGCGCGUGAAUACGGAC
rnacentral:lncRNA from 1 species